CCCUUGCGUUUCCUUGAGGUCUACAGAAGUGAAAUUGCCGGGUCAGAUGGUGGCUCUAUUUGUAAUUUUUUGAGGACCAUCCGUACUGCUUUCCAUAGUGGCCGCACCAAUUUACAUUCCCACCGACAGUGCACAGGGUUCCUUUUUCACGGCAUCCUUGCCAACGCUUACGGUCUCUCGUGUUCUUGAUGAUAGCCAUUCCAACAGGUGUGAGGCGAUAUUUCAUCACGGUUUGGAUUUGCAUUUCCCGGAUGAUUAGCGAUGCUGAGCAUCUUUUCAUGAUCUCUUUCUUAACUAGAACAUUAAAACCUUAGGGAAUUCACACAGAAUGACUUGGGAAAUUGCUUUUAUUAAAUUUCCAGUCACUGAAAAAGUCCAGGUUUUUUUUUUUUUCUCUCAAGAAGAAAAGUCAUCUAAAGUAAAUUUUAAAGAAUAAAUUAUUGAUAUAAAGCAAGGAAAGUAAAUUGACAAGCUACAAAAUUAAAAGGGAUCCUAUUUCCACUCCUGGCUUGUUAUAAGGUCUAAAACGUGCUGAGAUAGGAAUGGAACUGAUCCUUUUAAUUUUCAUACUACACACCAAGUAUUCAUUUUCAAAUCCUUUUCUUUUGGAGACAUCAAAAAAUUAAAUGAAAAAUAUGACUAUAGUUUAUUUAGAUCUACACUCACAAAAUGAACAAAGAAUAAAAACUGUUUCAAGCCAGGUAAAAACAAAAUACUUAACUUCCUUUCCUCCUUCCAGGCAGAGUAAGGGGAUUCUUUGGUUUGUUUGUUUUGUUUUUUCAAGAUUUUUAUUUUUUCUAUUACAUUUGCUGUGAUCGGUCAAUUUCUGCUGUACUCAGUUUUCCAGGUGACUUCCUCAAGGUCCCAGCACCUGGGGUGUUCUAUACAGAGGGAUCAGGAUGUUUUGAGGUUAACACCUCAUAGGAAGCCUUCAAUUGUCCUUUGCUGGUAGAAAGUUGCUCACAUGUAAAGUUUUGCUUAAGUUUAUUUUUUUUCCAAAUAAGAUUUAUUUUUAAAUUUUUUUCAUUUAUAAUAAUUUCUAAUGAUAGCUAGUUUACAGUGUUCUGUCAAUUUUCUACUGUGCAGCAAGAUGACCCAGUCACACACACACGUAUACAUUCUUUCUUCUCACAUGAUCCUGCUCCAUCAUAAGGGACUGGAUGUAGUUCCCAGGGCUACACAGCAGGAUCUCAUUGCUUAUCCACUCCAAAGGCAAUAGUUUGCACCUAUGAACCCCAAAUCCCCAGUCCUUCCCACUCCCCCCAUUUAAAGAAAAUGCAAGGACUUUGCCUGUGGAAGUGUGAACGUUACCUGAUGUUGAACGGGUCCGGCCAUAAACUGGACGUGGUACCUCAUCUCACUAGCCAGUGCUGUCUUUAGAGCCUCACUCACUGCACUGCUUUAGUACAAGACUGUCACCCCCCAGGAAGAACGACCUUGGCUACACUGCCAUGCAUCCUGGAUCUGGAUCUGAAAAUCACAGCCGGCAUAAGCAAAGAGAGCACACAAAAUGCAGAAGGGGAGACAGGUGAUUCCCGAUUAUAAAUGUCAAAAUGCCCUCAAGAUCAGGAGUUUACCAUUGCGAAAUAGGUCUGUUUUUGGUUUUUGUUUUUUUUCUCCCCCUAUAAAACUUCAUGAAGCAAGAAGUAGUUACAUCCUUUGUCGGGGGCAGGGGUAUAAAUACUUUUGACAGUAGAACGUAUCCUGGGAUUUUCAAAGCAAAACUGUUAUGCCUUUUCUUUUUCUUUAACUUUUUUGGUGGGUGUGUAAUCUUUUCUUCAACAUUUGGUCUACAUAUGGAUAGACCUGUGAUUUUAAAUGGCCUAAUGAGCCUCAGACAGACUUCUAAGUAACACUCAUGAAUAAGCCAAAGAGAGAAUCUCAGAUGCUAACAUUUACCGCACUAAGAAUUUUUUUUUCUGUUUGCUGAUUUUUUUUCCUUUUAAAAAGUUAACACUUAUUGAACAUAAUAUAUCCUGAAUCUUUUGCAGGUGUUAAGCAGCUGACUUUAAUUUUUUAAAGAAGCCAAUCCAUCUAUUACCAAACCAAAAAAAAAAAAAAA
rnacentral:lncRNA from 1 species